UACGUAGGGUGCGAGCGUUAAUCGGAAUUACUGGGCGUAAAGCGUGCGCAGGCGGUGACCCAAGUCAGAUGUGAAAUCCCCGGGCUUAACCUGGGAACUGCGUUUGUGACUGUAUAACUCGAGUGUGGCAGAGGGGGGUGGAAUUCCACGUGUAGCAGUGAAAUGCGUAGAGAUGUGGAGGAACACCGAUGGCGAAGGCAGCCCCCU
rnacentral:rRNA from 1 species